GACGAACGCUGGCGGCGUGCUUAACACAUGCAAGUCGAACGGAAAGGCCCCUUUUGGGGUACUCGAGUGGCGAACGGGUGAGUAACACGUGAGUAACCUGCCCUGGACUUCGGGAUAACUUCAGGGAACUGGGGCUAAUACCGGAUAGGAAUCCUUGCGGCAUGGUGGGGGUUGGAAAGCUUCGGCGGUUUUGGAUGGACUCGCGGCUUAUCAGCUUGUUGGUGGGGUAGUGGCUUACCAAGGCUUUGACGGGUAGCCGGCCUGAGAGGGCGACCGGCCACAUUGGGACUGAGAUACGGCCCAGACGCCUACGGGAGGAAGCAGUGGGGAAUAUUGCACAAUGGGCGGAAGCCUGAUGCAGCAACGCCGCGUGCGGGAUGACGGCCUUCGGGUUGUAAACCGCUUUCAGCAGGGGCGAAGCUUGUGGUGACGGUACCUGCAGAAGAAGCACCGGCUAACUACGUG
rnacentral:rRNA from 1 species